AUGUCUGGAGCCAGGAGGCGCGCUCCGUCUGUCAUAUCGACCCAGCUGAAGCUGAGCGUCCAGCCCGCUGUCCUGCCCCCUGCCCCCGGCGCCCCAGCCCCCACACGGCCACUCUCCCCCUCCUCCAAGAAAGGCAGCUGCCGUCCCACCUGCCCUCGGAGGCUUCCCGCCACCUGCGGACACCCCUGGGCCUCCGUUUCCUCCUCUGUAAAGCAGGGCUGUGAGGGAGCCUGUGGUCCGCGGGGGGGUGAGACGUACGCGAUCCAUGAGCGUCACAGCAACACCAUGGGGGCGACUGGCUGUGAUGCUCUUUUGUACCAAGCCGAGCGAGUGAGCCGGGAUGCCCGGCCCUGCCGCUUACAACUGUGCGGCUGGCGAGUUACCAGCCCCCCGCCCUCGCUUUUCCUCACCUCCAGGGCUGCUGUGAGAUCAGACGAAUGCCCACCCCAGGACUGUCAUCCAGAAGCUCCUCCGUAAGCAGGAGCUGCCGGGUCUGCGUUUGCCCUGGUGGCCGCCCACCCUGGUCCCUGAGGCCACCUCACCUGACGACUCCAAGAUGCUGGAAGGCCACCCCCACACGGCGCCUGCAGGAGGCGCGGUGGCUCAGUCCAGCCUCCGAGGUGCUCUCAGGAUGCCGGGAUGUGGGGUGACCGAGGACCGGACCCGGGAACCUCGGCUCUCUGCAGGAUGGCGCGCCAGCCCUGUCCUCAUCUCCUCCUGGUACCACCAGCGGGCAGGGGACCACUGUGUCCUCACUCCUGCCCACGACUCGGUGGUACUCGCUGAAGGCCGUGGCAGAGUCAGGGGUCACUCAGGGCAGAAAGGGCCCCAGCGGGGAGGGGGCCUGAAGUGGGGGGCAGACAGGCGCACCCCGAGGCUGAGUCCUGAGGACACGGAGGGCGGGGACUCGGGAGGGGCUCCGUGGGUGACGACCCGGACAGGGAAGGCCAGGAAUUGCCCAGAAGCAUGUUCUUUAGAAACAGGUGAAGAGUGACCAAAAGAGCGGGUAAGGACCCCAGGACGUGACAGUGGGCUGUCUCUUCCGUGAGCACGUGGGGAAUCCCUUGGCUUUUAAAUCACGAAUUCGCAUCACCUCAAUGCAAAGAAGACCUUAGAGCAGACUCGGUCGCCUUAACUUCUACAAUCAGAGCCAGAGGUUCUGAGACGCUGGGAUUCGGGGACGAGUUACGAGAGGUCCAUCUGGGCUGCUACGUACAGGCUGGCAGGGCCAUCCGUCAAGCCGCUGCAGCAGUGAGAGACUGAGGUCAGUGCACUGUGCUGACGGGAAAGACGGCCGCUGCCCAUCAUUCCACAGCGACGAUAACAGCCAAGCUACCUGGAGCGACCCCUCGCCUCAGCCCGGGCGCCUGGGAAGCUCGGAGGAGGCUCGGGGGGCAGGUGGUGCCCAGUGGCCCCCUCACGGUUGCGUUCCGUUCACGGACGCGCCGUUUCAUCCAGGGCUUACUUUUUAACGACA
rnacentral:lncRNA from 1 species